rnacentral:lncRNA from 1 species
UUUUUGCAGAAUUCAGCAUACAUUUAUUUGCAGAGGUUUUUACAUACACUGGGAUUCAUCCCCUCUGUGCUCAUAUAUCCGGCCAAAUUCAAACGGGACAACGAUUUCUUGUUGAUCUGGUCAAGUAUUCUUCUUGAUCUGAUCGAAUACUUGACGCUGACCCAUUAGACAAAUGCAACAUAACAUAGCAUAUUAUAUAUAAAAGUUGACUUACACAUACAACUCGUUGACUUACACAUACAAUUUGUUGCCUCUGUUCAUUACAAAAGAAAAGAGAAGAUCUUGUGGGUUAUAUACAACAAACUCACAACACUUAAACCAGCAAACAUGCUGGAGAGGAUCUUUCCUGCAGGCGGAUGCGACUGCAACUGCUGCGACGGUAUU